AAGACUCACAACAACGUGGGUUCUUCUGGGAGAAAACUAUUCAAAUAACAUGGAAUUAGAUUGCUGUGAUGAACUGGAGGUCAGCGCCUUCCAACACGCAAACUUGAGUAGAUGAUCAAAUACCAGCAGCUUGUGGGGAGAAGGAGUCCUUGAUAAAAUGUGAUCAGCCACCCAAGCGGUCAUGUGAAAUGUUGUGCCUUUUAGAAGUGUUUCUCUCUGAGGGGAAUUUCAGCAAUCGACAAAUUUGGUGCAAAGAAUCCACAAGAUGAAGCUGUGUCGCAUUUGCAGCUUCACCCGACCCGAAACGACCCCUCCCUGUGGGGGCUCGCCCGGUCCUGUAACGUGACGGAACGCAUCAUGACACACCUGUGACUGGGUGGAGGAACGAUGGAGCUCAGCUGCCACCUGGUGGAGGAGUGCGUGCAGCGCGGCAGAGAUGGAGCAGCAGGCCAAGAGAUGUGGAACAAACUGCGACGGAACGUUACCGACACCAUCACAGCUAAACAUGUUGGGCAAACUAAUUUACAAAUAGUGAGACCCUCAUUUACUUGAUAUUUCCUUACCCAAAAAAGAAAAUGUAUCUGCCGACCUAAGAAAGCAUCUGCAUCGCGUCUCCAGCCUUCAACACAGCUAAUAGCAUUCAAAAUGUUGACUAAAGCAAAUAAAACGAUGGUCGUUCUCACAGGGAGGACUCACCCUCUUAUUGAAUCCAUUAAUAAACACAUGACACAAAACUGAUUUUAAAGGUUUAUUCAAUGACCGUGGAGAUAUUUAAGAUGAGCUGUGGCCUCUGAUGAUGAUGAUGCUGCUCUCUUUAGGAGGAAGCAGAGGCGAGAAGGCCAUUACUGAGAGGACUUGCCCACAUUAGGAUACAGAGAGUUCCCAUUAGACCGACACACGGCCCCCGACAGGGUUUGUGCACGUUUAAGCCGCUUUUGUGGAGAUGACAGCAAAGUUUAAAUAGAUUUCAGGAUGAAUGAGACCUCCCUGGUGUUGCUCACCAGCAAUAAGCCCACAAUGCAGCAGGAGAGAUAUUCCAAGGAACACACUGGUCACCAUGCGGUUCUGGGCCGACACGUCCAUCUGUCACAGAAACAGUCUCAAUAUUAAGUUUCAGCAGUUCAGGAUGAUGGAAACCCGACUGCUUGCUGUGUGGAAGAUGGACUCUAGGAUACAGCAGAGUAGAAGCAGCUAUUGGAGAAGAUGAAGUGUGCUCAUCAUGUUUAAUAGUUACUUUCCAACUCACACCACAUUUAAAUCAAUAUAAAAUGCUCUAGAGGAGGCACACAUACCAGGAACGUCCUCCCCGUAUCGGGUCAAUACUGCAGCCGCUCGGGCAUCAAGGACACGCCACCUGUGCAGCGGGUGGGGGUCCUGCAGCUGUACCAGGGGCUGCUGCUGUGGAUCUGGAAGGGUUUUUCUAGUCUGCCUGCAGGGACAAAAAAAAGACAGGACAUGAAAAGACUAAAAACCAAUGAAAUAAUGAGGACACCCUGAAAUGAAAACCGCUGAAGUGGGCGGUUUGGAUUUUCCAAAACACCUCAAGAGUCCAAAUAGCAAGUGGGAUUUAAUCGGGUCACCGGUGACCAGCAGAGCUACUCAAUGAUAAAUAGCAACGUAUUAAGUUAUUAACGCGGGUGGAAACGCCUUCAUACAUUAUCCUCCGAGCAGACGUCUACCUUUCUGUCUACAGAGAAUUGUUUUAAAGUUAUUGAAAAAUGAACAGAAAGAUUUAGAAUAACUGGGAAAUAGAGCUGUGUCGAUUCCAAGUGCCAGUAAAUUGAUGAGAAAAUAUUUAAAGCAGAUGCAAGAGUGAAGGGUUGACUUUAAAUUAGGAUCAGCACCCAAGGACAAAGUGAAUGGAACAAACGUGUAUAAAGAUUUACGCUCAAUAAAAACAGCGGACCGAAUUGUCGGCAUGUCCUCAGCAGCUCCUUGGGUGGAGUUCCUUCGCCCUUUAUGAGGGGACGACUACUGCAGGAUGUUAGUGGGAACGUGCAGGAAACCCAGAAAGAGUCAGAAACACCAGGAAGGCAAAAUGUGUAAUAUGAGCAGCACCAGGACUGGACAAUAAGCGUUGUCAGUAGCAACCAUUUUGAAAAAUUGUCCUUGUACGGCAAUAUAGACAGCAAACAAAUUACUUCAAAGAAAUACAAUAAAAUGUGCAGAGGACAUUAUGAUCCAUUGAGAACAUGACUCAUUAAGACACACAAAUAACAGUGUGGGUGAAAUAAUGAUCCUGUAGUUAGAAUAGCAGCACAGCAGGAAACAGACCUUCAGGAAUGAAGGCGCUGCCCUCCAAGGUCAGUGCGCUGAUGGUGGACUCUGGGAGGGAGAAGCCCGAGAAAAUCCACAGCAUGACACCCUCCCACUGCGGGUUGGUGGACAUAAAAAAAGAAAAGGACGGGCAGUAUUAGUACAGAUUCUGGAAACUACAAGUCUUUGAAGAGAAAUCAGGAUUCGCUUGUCUUUUUAAAAUCCCUCCUAACAAAUUAUAGAAGUAAUGAUGCUCUCCUCCAAUGCAACAGUGGGCAAAAACUAUUAUAGGCUACAUAGUCCCACAAUGACAUCAUAAUGCACACAGCUAUAAAGAGCGGGAGGGUUGAGUCAGAUGGCCCCUGUGCACACAGUGUGUCCUCAGGUCGGGUCGGAUCGGGGCAUCGAUGCCACUGCAUCAAACGCCCCAACUGAUUAGUGCAACUCAUCACUCUCACCCCCACCGGCACCACCCACGCGGACUGUUCGGAUGUGUUGGGAGACACCAUCGGGCCUGAUGUGUUUACCUGCUUCACGUUCGACCCUGAGGCGAAUCCAUCCGCUCCCAUCUUGCUGCAACGCAUGGAUUUCAGGACAGUCAGCAGCAGCACCCGCUAAGGACACAAAACCAUAGAAACCAGGCAGGUCAGCCAUGCAAACAGUCGAUCCCUGUCCCUAAACAAGCCUCCUUUUAUCCUUUCUUGGAAAAGAGCGGAAGGGUUGAGUCAGAUGGCCCCUGUGCACACAGUGUGUCCUCAGGUCGGGUCGGAUCGGGGCAUCGAUGCCACUGCAUCAAACGCCCCAACUGAUUAGUGCAACUCAUCACUCUCACCCCUUCUUCAUCAAUCAACAUGCAGUCAGCAAUGCCCGCGUGCGACAAAAACACUUGAGGGCAAGCUAGUUAGCUUUAGCCACGAAACGUGGUUCAUCUCAGCUACACAACCCGUCGUGUAAAACUCAAAACAUAGAAAGCCUAGAAAGGAAACUUUGGAUACCAAUACGUUUUAUAACUUCAAAAUUAUAAAUGUACUGUGACGCUGGUUGGAACACAGGCAAACAUUGACUAACGUUAACUAAGUUAGCCGUUAGCUUCAGCGCUAACGCUAGCUGCUCGGCUAUAACGUUAGCUAGAUCCAAAACUACAGUGUCUGAAAAGGACACAGUUGUUCCUAAAACAAGACUGUCAAACAAAGGCACAUUGUACCAACCAACACAAAGCAGACAAGGGAAGUUUGUUCGAUGUAGCUUCUGCUGGCUUUAGCCGUAGCCCAGUCAUCUUCUCCUGAACUAACGAAGUUAAAUGAGCGCGUACAGUGAAGCUUAUCGCUGAUUGGCUCAAAUGCCGGAACAUGGCGAACGUUCAUUGGACAGUUGGAACCUCGCUCCCUUCGGAAAACCAAUGACAAGUUGUAUAUCCGUCACGUGAACACACGCGCUCCACGACCUGCUCAGUGUUGUUUAGCAGCACGGCGUGUGUUUAUGAGGCGGGUGAGGUAAUGAAGGAUUAAUAGUGGCUUCAUGUGGGAUCCCCCCUAAUUAUUCUGUAGAUCCAUAUAGGUUUUCUCCACGCGUUUAAGUAUUUGAGUGUAUUUCGAACCUUUUAUUACGAUGUCAUGACGCAAAAUACAACAUUAAAUGGACAUUUCCGUGGUUUUCUGGGGCUCAUAAAUCUUGUUUACAGGGCAAACAUGCAUAAUUUGUGGUUUGAUUUAUAGAUCCUGAAACACGCUUUUUUUAAUUUUUAAAAUUGUGUCUGAAAUCAAUCAACCGCUUCAUCGCCUUAUAGCAUCUCCUCCCUUGUACCUGCAAAUGAGAUGAAAUCUCAGGAGUUCUUCCUGGUCUUUGUGGUCCAGUUUAGGGUUCGAUGUUCGACCCGGAAGUCUACCUGAAAAUCCUUGACUUAUCACAGCCAUUCACUUCAUAUUUAAAUUGUAUGUACCUCAGCUAUUUCGUCAUUUUAGGAUUUUCAUUAGUAAAACUAUGCAACAUUUUAGAUAGUGUAUAGCGCUAUUUUGUAUUGUUUGCCUGGAGAAAAGAUCCCUCCUCUGUUAUGUUAUUUCUGCAAUUAUCUGCAGAAUCAGGCCUCUGCUUUUCCUUUGCUAUAUGUUGACUGUGUUCUGACUAGCGAGACAUUGUGCACAGAUGAGUGAGCCAAAUGUUUCAUUGAAAUGGAAAUGCCAUUUUAUAUUAAAAGAUAGCAAAGGGAUCAUUCACUAUAUCACACAACACAGCUUGUUAGUACUGCCAUGGAAAUACAUAUACAGUCUUUUCAUAUUUACACAUCAAGUGACAACCAAACAAAAAUCAUAAAUACCUCUUAUUGUUAACUUUACAACAGCUAUACGUAACCAGUAUUUCAUAAGAUAAAAGAGCACUAUUAAAUAGCUGGCAUCUUCCCUAACAUUUACAAGGCUUGGAAACACAGUGGUUAAAAUAAUCCAGCGAAAAAAAGUUCUUCUCCAGUGAGUAAAAUUAGUCUAAAAACGGUCAAGAAAUCCCUUUGUACAAAAGACUACAAACUUAAUCGACAACAGAAAUGCUUGCUUGUAUGAGCGUGAUAAAAUCUGUACAGUUUUAGCCUUCCCGCAGCAGAGGUGGAGGGACUGUGAGCCGGUUACUGGGUCAUGUGACGCUCCGCGGGCCCCCUGCCGCCCGCCCGCCAGAGACCGUAGUUACGUAGCUGCCAAGACCCUCUUUCAUUGGCCUCAGUGCUUCGUGUAGCAGCAGAUCAGCACGUUGCUGAGCUCGUAGCAGAUACUUAAAAAAUACAUGGUUCUAUAAAGUCCCACUGAUAUAUUUGUCGAUAUAGCAAUAUAGUAUUUCCCCGUACCACUCCUCAACGACGGACAGGAAGGUACUCUAAAAAGUUUAAGCAAUGCAUAAUAUCUUUAAUUGUAUUAAAUUUGUUUUUCAGUAAGUUGUCAGUGAUACAUUUCUAAGCUAUAACCCUCACAGUCUGAUGGGGUCAGACAUGCAGCAAGUUAUCCAUCUGUUAUACUGAACUGUGGCAGAUACGCAAGAGUUAAUGGAUCCAAACCCAAAUUACAAAAAAAAAAAAAAGGUACAGUUCUUGUUUCCCUCUAGCAGUGAUUCGCAUUGCGGAUACUUUUGGUUCCAUUUUGCAGGCUUUUGAAAUGCUCACCUCUUAAACCUCAAUCUCACCUCAAAACAAUCCCAACAUGUUGUGAUUAAGAUCCGAAAUGAAGGAAAUCUACUUCAAAAUCAUUUGUGGUGACACAAAUAUCUAAAAAAGGUCCAACCUUACAAUAUAAUGUUUCUAGACAAUUAAUUCAAUCUGUUAAAGCCGGGAUAUUUUUUUCCUCAAAAAAACAAAAACAAUGUCUUGGUAAACUUGCACCAUUGUUUGUGGUGUAAGAACGGAACGGAGGACACGAUGAUGUGCACAGUAAAUGAAGCUGAAGAGGGGACCUUGGCUGAGAAUUGUUAGCUAUCAACUCAUUUUGCGCCAAAAUUAAUUGUUGUUAAAAUGAAUGAGGUUAACAUUCUCAUUUAAAUACUACUGUAGAUUUUCAUUCAUCAUAUUUAACUUAAAAAACGACCAAUCAGAGACACAAACUCAAUGAGAGAUUGCAUUAAGACUCCCAGAGACACACGUCUCACACAAAAACAAAACCAUGUGCAUGGCUUUGUGGCCCUGGUGGGACAAAAUACCCCUUUUUCUGUGACCAAGUAAGAAAAAAAAAAGACCUUUGAUAAAAAGUAAUUCUACAGCUGUUUGGCACUUCGGGCUGUUACUUCAUCGUGGCUUCGUCUGCUGGGCCUGUGGAUCAUCAAUGGUUCAAUUACGUGAUAAAAAACAAACAAAAUAAGAUUACUUUAAAAGCCGGCGGAUGGACAGUGCGUCCGGCUGCAGGCUGUGAAAUAGGGAGUCAGAAGCGGCAGCUCACGGGAGUCAAACAAAACCAACAUCCCGCAGUGAACAUACGUUGCUAUAGAAGUGUAAAUGCUGAAAGAAGCACAGGGACUGCGUGAAGCCCCCUCCCCCCUCCCCCCUUUGGCACUGUCAUAAAUACAACUCGUGAAUACACAACUCGUUCUGACACAACUCGUUCUGACACAACUCGCUCAUUUUGCUCCAAAAGUCAGUAAACCCACUCGAAAAGUACAAAAAAAACGUCCAUAAAUAAGAGUUCAUAAAGACGCGAGUGGCGUUGAGAGAGAGAGAGAGAGAGAGAACGUCGUUUUAGCAUCGUCCCAAAAAAAGGAAGGAAAGUCCACAGAGAAACGGAGCGAAGCUGCACGCAGAGAAGCGUCGGUCGCACUGAGAGUCCUCUGAAGACGACCGCGUCUCCGACACUUCCUCCACGUAGUCUUUUGCGCUCUCCUUCCCGCAUGCUCACUAGUUCAUCCUUUUGGCCUGAAGGCAGUAGCUCUGAGGGGGCUGUUGGAGGACUCUGUCUGUGUGUGUGUGUGUGUGUGUGUGUGCAGAAAUAGGACGGAGCCCCCGUUUCGUUUAGUUUAUGGAAAACUUAGUUGCGUCUAACCAGGUUAAUUUGUACCGUUCAUACGAAAGCAACUGCUGCUCAGUUUGUACUUUUU
ensembl:lncRNA